rnacentral:rRNA from 1 species
UGGCGGCGUGCCUAACACAUGCAAGUCGAGCGGGGGUUAUUGAGAGCUUGCUUUCGAUAACCUUAGCGGCGGACGGGUGAGGAACACGUGGGUAAUCUGCCCUUUGCAGAGGGAUAACGUCAAGAAAUUGACGCUAAUACCUCAUAAGCUCCCGGCACGGCAUCGUGGCGAGAGAAAAGAUUUAUCGGCAAAGGAGGAGCCCGCGGCUGAUUAGCUGGUUGGGGAGGUAACGGCUCACCAAGGCGACGAUCAGUAGCCGACCUGAGAGGGUGAUCGGCCACAUUGGAACUGAGACACGGUCCAAACUCCUACGGGAGGCAGCAGUGGGGAAUAUUGCGCAAUGGGGGGAACCCUGACGCAGCAACGCCGCGUGAAGGAGGAAGUAUUUCGGUAUGUAAACUUCUAUCAGCAGGGAAGAAGGAAGUGACGGUACCUGCAUAAGAAGCCCCGGCUAAUUACGUGCCAGCAGCCGCGGUAAUACGUAAGGGGCAAGCGUUAUCCGGAUUUACUGGGUGUAAAGGGUGAGUAGGCGGUUCGGCAAGUCAUAUGUGAAAUACCUGGGCUCAACCCAGGAACCGCAUAAGAAACUGUCGGACUUGAGUACAGGAGAGGUAAGCGGAAUUCCCAGUGUAGCGGUGAAAUGCGUAGAUAUUGGGAAGAACACCGGUGGCGAAGGCGGCUUACUGGACUGAAACUGACGC